ensembl:lncRNA
CUUCAGCAAGCAGGAUGAAGGCAUCUACACCUGCCUCGCUGUCAACGACGUGGGAACACGGGAUGUCUCGGUCAACGUGGCCUUGGCUGGGUCAGAGAAUCCAGCUGAAGAUCUGCUCCGAGAUGACCCCCACGCUGGCCACCUUGGGGACCGGAGCUGCUAUAAGGGGGACGAGAUAGAUCCUUCUGGUACUGGAGAAAAGCUGGUGAUCGUUUACCACAUACCAAGGGAGUCCAAGAGCAGGGCUGGAGGAGCAGUGCCCCAGGUCCAGCUGGGGACGCUCCUGCUGGCUUUGGGCAUCGCACUCUGUUGUUAAAGGGGGGAGAAGGAAACGGUGCCACGGGGGUCCCCCUCUUUCUGUAGCAUUUAUCUUCAUGUAGUGCCAUGCCUUUGCUGAGCUUCUGGGAACUGUGGGCGGUCAGGAGUGAAAGGGGGCCAAGACUCAGGCCCAGGGUUGGUAGUUCAACCCCUCCUUAGAUGGGGGGUCAGGGCUGGGCUUUGUUAGUUGAGAGCUUCAAACAAGCUCGGGUGAUGUAGAGCAGAUCUGCAUUGUGCUGCUGCUUUCAGGGGUCCAAACCUGCCACCUCCUGACUUAUCUCCCUCCUGAGACCAAAGCAGGAUUAAAGUCCAUUGUCAACAGGGUGACCAUCACCCAUCCCCAGAGCCUACCUCCACCUGCAGCAGCAAGCUCUGACCAGGGAGGGCAUCUCUGGUCCAGCAGCACCAAAGAUGACACUCCUGCUGUGACCGGUGCCCGGGCCCUUGGCCGGCCAGGCGCAUCCUUCCUACCACCAACCUCACAUGAAGCACCAGGAAGAGCAGGACCAGUCUUAGAGUAGGGGAAUAGCAUGGACAUGGGAUCCUGGGGGCCCAGGGGACAUGGAUCUGAGGGACAGAGGUAUGGUGGUGCUUUGUAGGCAGGAGGGGUAUGGCAGGACACGCUGGAUGGGCCUGUGGGCUUGGAUCAGGCCAUUGUAUGGAGCAGAAGAAGCUGUCCCACAGGCUUCAAUCCUUCAGGAGCACAAAGGGCACCCACUGGCUGGGUGCUGGGAGCACCCAGGGUGCCUGCACCCUUCCUGCAUGUCGCAGGAUCAGGCCCUGCCGCCCUCAGUACCUUUCCCAGAUGCAGCUCAUUUCCUCCCUCCCCUUUGCCUUUCACUGCUGAAGCCUGUGGUCCAAACUGCUGGUCUGGGCUGGACCCACCGAGCUGACCUGCUCCAGCUCUGACCCCAGCAGGGAGGGAUGGAGCUCAAAGAGAUGAAAACAAUGUCCCAGCGCUCCUCUUUGAUGGCAAACCAAGCAGGGGCUGCAUGAUGGAAUGGGAGGAAGAAAGAUUGGGAAAACCCAGAUGAGAGAGACAGAAACUGAGCUGACCUAUAAGGCAUAAACAAACUCCUUAAGUGCUUUAGCAUUCCCACACGGGACAUAUAUACCAUACCCGGCUGCCUAGGGUGCUGGGGAACCCCUUGUCUCCUGGUGGGGGGGCUAAGCAUAUCCAUCUCCCCUACCCUGAGGUAUAGGUGACCCAGCUCUUGUGUCUUCUGCCAGUGCUCGCCUGCGGGAGCUGGAUGGACCCCUGCAGCCCCCUUGCCUUGUAACCAAAGCUGUAUGGACAGCAAUAAAUACUGAUUGUUGUUUUCUAAA